rnacentral:rRNA from 1 species
GAUGAACGCUGGCGGCGUGCCUAAUACAUGCAAGUCGAGCGAACAGACGCGGAGCUUGCUUCUCUGAUGUUAGCGGCGGACGGGUGAGUAACACGUGGAUAACCUACCUAUAUGACUGGGAUAACUUCGGGAAACCGGAGCUAAUACCGGAUGAUCUUUUGAACCGCAUGGUUCAAUAGUGAAAGACGGUCUUGCUGUCACUUAUAGAUGCAUCCGCGCUGCAUUAGCUAGUUGGUAAGGUAAAGGCUUACCAAGGCAACGAUGCGUAACCGACCUGAGAGGCGGAUAGGCCACCUUGGAGCUGAGACACGGUCCAGACUCCUACGGGAGGCAGCAGUAGGGAAUCUUCCGCAAUGGGCGAAAGCCUGACGGAGCAACGCCGCGUGAGUGAUGAAGGUCUUCGGAUCGGAAAACUCUGUUAUGAGGGAAGAACAUAUGUGUAAGUAACUGUGCACAUCGUGACGGUACCUAAUCAGAAAGCCACGGCUAACUACGUG